rnacentral:lncRNA from 1 species
AUGUUAGAAGGUGCAAAAUCAAUAGGUGCCGGAGCUGCUACAAUUGCUUCAGCGGGAGCUGCUGUAGGUAUUGGAAACGUAUUCAGUUCAUUAAUUCAUUCUGUGGCAAGAAAUCCAUCAUUGGCAAAACAGUUAUUCGGAUAUGCAAUCCUGGGAUUUGCUCUAACCGAGGCUAUUUCCUUGUUCGCAUUAAUGAUGGCCUUUUUGAUUCUAUUUGUUUUCUAA